UACGUAGGGGGCAAGCGUUGUCCGGAAUCAUUGGGCGUAAAGAGCGUGUAGGCGGCCCGGUAAGUCCGCUGUGAAAGUCCAGGGCUCAACCCUGGGAUGCCGGUGGAUACUGUCGGGCUCGAGUCCGGAAGAGGCGAGUGGAAUUCCUGGUGUAGCGGUGAAAUGCGCAGAUAUCAGGAGGAACACCAAUGGCGAAGGCAGCUCGCUGGGACGUGACUGACGCUGAGACGCGAAAGCCAGGGGAGCGAACGGG
rnacentral:rRNA from 1 species